rnacentral:misc_RNA from 1 species
GGUCAAAAAGUAAAUGGCUCAACCUGGGACAGAAAUUCACAACACUAAGACAAGCUGCUGGACUUUGAAAUCUCAUACUUCUUCAGCAACCAAAUGCAGCACGUGAAAGCACGUGACAAGCUUUUUACAAACCCCCCCCACACACAGCAAAGCUUAUCCAAGUUAACACUACAACUGCAGAACAUUGUUUGAGACUAUGCUUAAAAUACUAUGAUUCCAUC